rnacentral:lncRNA from 1 species
CCUGUAGUGGCCCGACCUUGGCAAGGAGAAAUUCGAAACUUCUGAGGCUGGAGACUUCGUACGGUUCAGCCGUGGAGGGGGCACUUCCCUCCCCACCCCCACCCCCACCCCGACAGACGGAGUGCACAUGGCAAAUUCUCGAUGAUGAUGAUGAUGAUGAUGAUGAUGAUGACAGCGACGAUGAAGACGACCAGGUUUCAUGUUUCCAUGCUUUUUCAAGGUGA